rnacentral:tRNA from 1 species
UCCCUGGUGGUCUAGUGGUUAGGACUCUGCAAUUCCACUGCAGGGGAAAGGGGUUCGAUCCCUGGUCAGAGAA